CAGUGUCUACUGACAGAGAUGCAUUACUUCAGAGAGAAAACUGCAAGCAAUUUUCUCUUCAAAUUUCAAGCCUGCUAUGGAAAUAAAAGCUCGAAGACAUUAUUAGAAAUGAAAGUGGCCAGAGGAAA